GUAGAAGAUGAUUUUAGCACAAUGGAGAAGUUCUAAGAAAAAGCAGGCAUGUGAGUGAGAAAGGAGGACACCGCCUUCUGAUUUGUACCCCCAGGUCUUACUACUUCUUCCAAAACCUUGUGACUCCAAAGUCCCUGAGCAGGCCGCUGCUUGUUCUGGCCAGAGAGCAGAGCCACCCACCAGGUGCCUGCAGUCUCCUACCCAAAAGGGAAGAAUCAAGAAUAAUGAAAGCACAGGACUAGAAGGGAUGGCAAUGACCCACUACAGCCUUCCUCCUGCAUCCACCCCAGUCACUGAGAUUGGUUCAGGGAGUAGCACAUGGCCAGAGUUCGCCCAGGAAGACAGUUUCUUUUUGUUACAGUUGUUAAGCUGAUUUCCACCAGAACAACGAAUUCACUGAUGGGCUAGUAAGUGUGCAUGAAGAAGGAACCCUUGGCAGAUGUUGCAGCCACCGAAAAAAAGAACCCGAGUUUAAUUUUAAAUGUCUGGUUUGUCUCAGCACGAACUGAUUGUUCUGUCUUGUUUCUCGCUUUCAAACAUGGAGGCAGCAGAUUCACUUGGUGCCAUUGAAACUGUCAACAAAAUAAGGAGCCUCCACUUGGUGCCCUACGCAUUAACAAAAGUAAGCUGCCUUCCAUGACUCAGCCUUGACUACAGGUUGACUGUGCUCCCCUCGCCGGAUGCAGAACACAAAAACAAAUAAGCAGACCCUUCCCAGCAAAGAAGACAGAAACAACAGGCAAGGCUUCAAAAUCCUUUUUCUUAAGUCUGAAACGUAUCAGCAUUCAAAAAACCGUUCGAAGGCAUACUUCCUGGCAUGAUUUAUGUUGAGAGUGAAGUGGACGUCUACUGAGUAGUACAUGGGAUGUCAAAGGACAGUCAAACCUUUCGAUCCUGAUCUUUGAGUCAAACUACAGGUUUACACCCAUGGUGCUUCUUCCUGAGUAAAUGGGAC